GCCACCGCCGCAUCUAGGGCUUGCCGUGCUGCUGCAACAAUAUAUUUUAGAAGUUGUAUUGGACUGGAAGAGAGGGAAGGGGAGCGUUUGAACUUUCAAUUUCAUUAAUUUUUGCUGAAUUUCUGUGCCUGUGGGUGAAUACUGGAUUGUGAAGGACGGUUAGGAUUGUGAAUAUAGAAGUUUGGACCUCUUCAUAUAUGGGAACAAUGCUGAUCGAUUCCUGAAUUGGAGCACUAGGUUCCAAAUUGUUCUAGGCGUGGCAAGGGGAUUGGAGUACCUUCAUGAGGAUUCAAAUCUAAGAAUUAUUCACCGAGACAUCAAAGCAAGCAACAUUCUUCUUGAUAAUAAGUUUCAUCCCAAGAUUGGAGACUUUGGCCUUGCCAGGUUCUUCCCUGAAGACCAAGCUUAUCUUAGCACACAAUUUGCUGGAACAUUCGCCAAAAGGGCUGUUUUCGCCGGAGCCAGAACAUUAUCGAGGACCAAAGCUAAAAGUUGCCAUCAUUAGAGCUGGGCUUUCUGGCAUGUCAACUAUAGUGGAACUCUUGGAUCAAGGACACGAGGUUCAGCUCCUUUAAUCUUUAAUAUCACACUUCCUCCAUUUCAUAUUUUAUAAGUCAUUUUGAUACUUUGAUUUAUGAAUAUAUGUGAAAAGUCAAAGCGACUUAUCAGUAUGGAACGAAGAAAAUGUUAUUUUGAAAUUGGAUGUUAUGGUGUACAUGGUAAACUUGAUUUUUGAAGCAAAGGGGAGGGAUUUGGUAAGUUUCUU